GUUCUUAACAGACACCUAACAAAUGUCAGGUCGCUUCCAGCAUACAGACUCCGUGCAACAAAGGAGCAUUUAAGUCGCGUUCAGCCAGCGUUCCUCAGCGCCUCCAGGCGAGUUUAACCUGACAGGAGACAUGUAACUGAAAUGAGUUACACUGGGACUUUCGCCCUCAGACUCAGGCUCUCUGUCCAGUCCACCCAGAGCGGUGAGCCUCCAGGAGGGACCGGUCCUGAAGCCUGGAAAAACGCUACCUGUCAGUCACUGAAGCUCCAGAGAGCCUGAAGAGUCUGUCUGAGAAUAUAGGCAAAAAUUUGCGGACAUUUCGGAUGCUGUGGAGAUGCAGGCACAACCCACUA